GGACGCUGGUUGUUCCGUUGAUCUUUGCAUUAGUGGGUGUCUCUAUUUCUGCACCAAUAAACGAUGGAACAGAUAAUGAUGAGGCGGCUGCAGCCCUAGGGAUCCUCAAUGCUCCUCCAACUCCACUCCCUGGAAAUGGAGACUCAGGAACUACAGAUGGAAAAGAUUCAGCAGAGAAACAAGGAGGUCCCAGUGACUCAUCUGACACCACUGAAAAACCAG